rnacentral:rRNA from 1 species
GAUGAACGCUGGCGGCGUGCCUAAUACAUGCAAGUCGAGCGAACAGACGAGGAGCUUGCUCCUCUGACGUUAGCGGCGGACGGGUGAGUAACACGUGGAUAACCUACCUAUAAGACUGGGAUAACUUCGGGAAACCGGAGCUAAUACCGGAUAAUAUAUUGAACCGCAUGGUUCAAUAGUGAAAGACGGUUUUGCUGUCACUUAUAGAUGGAUCCGCGCCGCAUUAGCUAGUUGGUAAGGUAACGGCUUACCGAGGCGACGAUGCGUAGCCGACCUGAGAGGGUGAUCGGCCACACUGGAACUGAGACACGGUCCAGACUCCUACGGGAGGCAGCAGUAGGGAAUCUUCCGCAAUGGGCGAGAGCCUGACGGAGCAACGCCGCGUGAGUGAUGAAGGUCUUCGGAUCGUAAAACUCUGUUAUUAGGGAAGAACAAAUGUGUAAGUAACUAUGCACGUCUUGACGGUACCUAAUCAGAAAGCCACGGCUAACUACGUG